AUUGAACGCUGGCGGCAUGCUUUACACAUGCAAGUCGAACGGUAACAGGCCGCAAGGUGCUGACGAGUGGCGAACGGGGGAGUAAUGCAACGGAACGUGCCCAGUCGUGGGGGAUAACUACUCGAAAGAGGAGCUAAUACCGCAUACGAGCUAUGGAUGAAAGCGGGGGACCGUAAUGCCUCGCGCGAUUGGAGCGGCCGAUGUCAGAUUAGGUAGUUGGUGGGGUAAAGGCUCACCAAGCCAACGAUCUGUAGCUGGUCUGAGAGGACGACCAGCCACACUGGGACUGAGACACGGCCCAGACUCCUACGGGAGGCAGCAGUGGGGAAUUUUGGACAAUGGGCGAAAGCCUGAUCCAGCAAUGCCGCGUGCAGGAAGAAGGCCUUCGGGUUGUAAACUGCUUUUGUACGGAACGAAACGGCUCUGGUUAAUACCCGGGGCUAAUGACGGUACCGUAAGAAUAAGCACCGGCUAACUACGUG
rnacentral:rRNA from 1 species